CAUAUCCAUUGUUUAGAAGGAAAGCAGAAUGCUGUACAAAUUACAAAUUAAUCAGCGGCAAGUGUAUACAUUGCCUUGGAUCCUUUGGAAAAAACUGCACACAGCCGUGUCCAUAUGAAUAUUAUGGUUAUGGAUGUUCGAAGAAAUGCAAAUGUACAUGGAACGAGUUCUGUGAUCCAAAACAAGGAUGUCAAACUGUAAAUAAUACACUGAUUCCAGCUGUAACCGGGGGUGUUGUUUUGACAGUUGUGCUGCUAAUUAUACUUUACAGAUGCUAUACAAAGCGAUGCCACAUAACAAGACAGAAGAAAG